rnacentral:lncRNA from 1 species
AGUGUUUGAUGAGUAGAUGAUCAUAGUGCUUGAGUUGAUAAAGGAGUGGAUGAUCAUAGUGCUUGAGUUUGGUAAAGAAGUGGAUAAUCAUUUCAAUGCUUAAUUUAUAACACAUUAUAUAUUGUUCAAAUUGAAUUUAGAUUUUUUGGAAUUUACUUUAAAAUUAAAUAUGUGGAUGGGACCAGAUGUUGUUCUAUUUUUUUAACUCAGAGAGAAAUGUUUGAGAAGUGUAAGGACAAAACCAAGUUCCUAAGCAAAGACGAGCAAAUGCCAAUACAAAAAUAAAGGGAUCACGGCCUCAAACACGAUCUCCCACCAGAUACUCUUUCACUCCAAUGAAAUUCUCCGGUUAAUGUCACCUUAUAGCAUUAUGGACCUCAUAUCUUCCUCUGCAAGCAAAUUCCUUAACCAAGAUGGACUACCUUGAGCUACAUACGAUUGAUAUCUCCUUUCCUUUGUCACACUCCGAGCAAUCAUAAAAGCAGCUUUGUUAGCCACUCUCUUUACUGAGCUCACCUUCCAUUCUGCAACUUUUUUCAAGACACCCCUUAACUCCUCAUCGUACGCUGAAACGCAGGCCACGCCUUAGGUCUAUUCACAGAACCCACCAACUCAUAGUCCUCCAACUCAAAACUCACCUUCUGCAAUUUGUGAGAAUUCAUGCUCUCA